rnacentral:rRNA from 1 species
UACGUAGGUGGCAAGCGUUUGUCCGGAUUUAUUGGGUUUAAAGGGUGCGUAGGCGGCUUUGUAAGUCAGUGGUGAAAUCCCCGAGCUUAACUUGGGAACUGCCAUUGAUACUAUCAGUCUUGAAUACCGUGGAGGUCAGCGGAAUAUGUCAUGUAGCGGUGAAAUGCUUAGAUAUGACAUAGAACACCAAUUGCGAAGGCAGCUUACUACACAGUUAUUGACGCUGAGGCACGAAAGCGUGGGGAUCAAACAGG